rnacentral:tRNA from 1 species
UACAUUUUAGUAUAUGAAGUACAUGAAUUUUUGAUAUUUAAUGAGAUAGUUUGAUUCUAUUGGAUGUAA